rnacentral:sRNA from 19 species
GAGAUGGAGAGUCGCCGGCAUGUUGCCCCCGCGUCGGCGGCUCUUCCUGGGGGCGGGCAUAAGUCCCGCUCCCGCAAACCUUCCGGUAGGAACAACGCCCCCCUCCGUCGGAAGGAACUCGGGCGGUGAAGUCCCCCAGCUUCACCGCCCACUUUC